rnacentral:lncRNA from 1 species
UCUUCCCUUUCUCCCCAUGGCCCCAGGCCUCACCACUGUGUCAGAGCCUUUUUCCUUGCAUUUUUAUUUGGCAAUGGCCUUUGACACAGUCUUGUACAUACCUUGUAACUAGAUGGCAUGAACAACCGUCGCCACACCAUUUUUUCUUGUUUUGGGUGGAUUUUGGGAUGUUUUCAUCAUGUCGGAGCUUCCGAAGGUGAGCCAUGAAAACGCAAUGCUGCUCGAUCAU